GCCCGCUCGCCGGAAGACCAAGGGUUCCUGUCCAACGUUAAUCGGGGCAGGGUGAGUCGACCCCUAAGGCGAGGCCGAAAGGCGUAGUCGAUGGGAAACGGGUUAAUAUUCCCGUACUUGGUGUUACUGCGAAGGGGGGACGGAGAAGGCUAUGUUGGCCGGGCGACGGUUGUCCCGGUUUAAGCGUGUAGGUGUGUGUUCCAGGUAAAUCCGGUUCACUUUAACACUGAGGCGUGAUGACGAGGCACUACGGUGCUGAAGCAACAAAUGCCCUGCUUCCAGGAAAAGCCUCUAAGCAUCAGGUAACAUCAAAUCGUACCCCAAACCGACACAGGUGGUCAGGUAGAGAAUACCAAGGCGCUUGAGAGAACUCGGGUGAAGGAACUAGGCAAAAUGGUGCCGUAACUUCGGGAGAAGGCACGCUGACACGUAGGUGAAGUGAUUUACUCAUGGAGCUGAAGUCAGUCGAAGAUACCAGCUGGCUGCAACUGUUUAUUAAAAACACAGCACUGUGCAAACACGAAAGUGGACGUAUACGGUGUGACGCCUGCCCGGUGCCGGAAGGUUAAUUGAUGGGGUCAGCGCAAGCGAAGCUCCUGAUCGAAGCCCCGGUAAACGGCGGCCGUAACUAUAACGGUCCUAAGGUAGCGAAAUUCCUUGUCGGGUAAGUUCCGACCUGCACGAAUGGCGUAAUGAUGGCCAGGCUGUCUCCACCCGAGACUCAGUGAAAUUGAACUCGCUGUGAAGAUGCAGUGUACCCGCGGCAAGACGGAAAGACCCCGUGAACCUUUACUAUAGCUUGACACUGAACAUUGAGCCUUGAUGUGUAGGAUAGGUGGGAGGCUUUGAAGUGUGGACGCCAGUCUGCAUGGAGCCGACCUUGAAAUACCACCCUUUAAUGUUUGAUGUUCUAACGUGGACCCGUGAUCCGGGUUGCGGACAGUGUCUGGUGGGUAGUUUGACUGGGGCGGUCUCCUCCUAAAGAGUAACGGAGGAGCACGAAGGUUGGCUAAUCCUGGUCGGACAUCAGGAGGUUAGUGCAAUGGCAUAAGCCAGCUUGACUGCGAGCGUGACGGCGCGAGCAGGUGCGAAAGCAGGUCAUAGUGAUCCGGUGGUUCUGAAUGGAAGGGCCAUCGCUCAACGGAUAAAAGGUACUCCGGGGAUAACAGGCUGAUACCGCCCAAGAGUUCAUAUCGACGGCGGUGUUUGGCACCUCGAUGUCGGCUCAUCACAUCCUGGGGCUGAAGUAGGUCCCAAGGGUAUGGCUGUUCGCCAUUUAAAGUGGUACGCGAGCUGGGUUUAGAACGUCGUGAGACAGUUCGGUCCCUAUCUGCCGUGGGCGCUGGAGAACUGAGGGGGGCUGCUCCUAGUACGAGAGGACCGGAGUGGACGCAUCACUGGUGUUCGGGUUGUCAUGCCAAUGGCACUGCCCGGUAGCUAAAUGCGGAAGAGAUAAGUGCUGAAAGCAUCUAAGCACGAAACUUGCCCCGAGAUGAGUUCUCCCUGAGACUUUAGGUCUCCUGAAGGAACGUUGAAGACGACGACGUUGAUAGGCCGGGUGUGUAAGCGCAGCGAUGCGUUGAGCUAACCGGUACUAAUGAACCGUGAGGCUUAACCUUACA
rnacentral:rRNA from 1 species